CCUACGGGAGGCAGCAGUGGGGAAUAUUGGACAAUGGGCGCAAGCCUGAUCCAGCCAUACCGCGUGGGUGAAGAAGGCCUUCGGGUUGUAAAGCCCUUUUGUUGGGAAAGAAAAGCAGUCGGCUAAUACCCGGUUGUUCUGACGGUACCCAAAGAAUAAGCACCGGCUAACUUCGUGCCAGCAGCCGCGGUAAUACGAAGGGUGCAAGCGUUACUCGGAAUUACUGGGCGUAAAGCGUGCGUAGGUGGUUUGUUAAGUCUGAUGUGAAAGCCCUGGGCUCAACCUGGGAAUGGCAUUGGAAACUGGCUUACUAGAGUGCGGUAGAGGGUAGUGGAAUUCCCGGUGUAGCAGUGAAAUGCGUAGAUAUCGGGAGGAACAUCUGUGGCGAAGGCGACUACCUGGACCAGCACUGACACUGAGGCACGAAAGCGUGGGGAGCAAACAGGAUUAGAUACCCUGGUAGUCCACGCCCUAAACGAUGCGAACUGGAUGUUGGGAGCAACUUGGCUCUCAGUAUCGAAGCUAACGCGUUAAGUU
rnacentral:rRNA from 1 species